UUGGUUCUCCCGCAACGCUAACCUGUGAACUCGGUCAGGUCCGGAAGGAAGCAGCCGCAGCAGGCGUCGCGUGUGCCGGGAUGUAGCUGG
rnacentral:SRP_RNA from 1 species